rnacentral:rRNA from 1 species
CAGCAGCCGCGGGAAUACAGAGGGUGCGAGCGUUAAUCGGAUUUACUGGGCGUAAAGCGUGCGUAGGCGGCUUCUUAAGUCGGAUGUGAAAUCCCUGAGCUUAACUUAGGAAUUGCAUUCGAUACUGGGAAGCUAGAGUAUGGGAGAGGAUGGUAGAAUUCCAGGUGUAGCGGUGAAAUGCGUAGAGAUCUGGAGGAAUACCGAUGGCGAAGGCAGCCAUCUGGCCUAAUACUGACGCUGAGGUACGAAAGCAUGGGGAGCAAACAGGAUUAGAUACCCUGGUAGUCCCUGUCUCUUAUAA